rnacentral:rRNA from 1 species
GACGAACGCUGGCUGCGGGCUUAACACAUGCAAGUCGAGCGGAAAGGCCCUGCAAGUGUGGUUUGCUCGAGUGCCAAACGGGUGCGGGACAGGAAAGUGACCUGACCUUGACUUUGGGAUAGCUUCAAGCAACUGGGGCUAGUACCAGAUCGGAACUCCUGCUGCAUGGUGGGUGUUAGGAAGUUUCGGCAGUUGGGGAUGGACUGGCGGCGGUGCGGCUGGUUAGUGUGGUAGCGGCUUACCAAGGCUUUGACGGGUAGCCGGCCUGAGAGGGUGACCGGCAAAAUGGGGACUGAGAUACGGCCCAGACUCCUGCGGGAGGCAGCAGUGGGGACGAUUGCACAAUGGGCGGAAGCCUGAUGCAGGAACGCCGCGUGAGGGAUUAUGGCCUUCGGGUUGUAAACCGUUUUGGCCUGUGACGAAGCGUGAGUGACGGUAAUGGGUAAAGAAGAACCGGCUAACUACGUG